AACAAAGGCAAUUCGUUCUGUAAAAAUACUCUAGAUUCUUUCUGAGGACUGGGCACUACACUGCUCAUAGUGGGCACAAAUAAAGUCAGCAUUCAGCCAACUCAGCAGGCUUUAAGAUGGAGACUCUUAAACCUCCUGCAUCAAAAAGACAUAAGGGAAUGUCCCUGAGAAGUGCCUGUGUCUCCUUUUAAGAGAGAGAGAGAGAGAUUGAUUCUGCCUCCUUGCAAUUCGAACCGGCAUUUUCCAGAACACUCCAAUUUGAAUCACAGUGGAGGGUCAUGGGAGGGAUUUGGCACAGGGGAGUCUUGGGUCUUUGGUUUUCCACAUUGAUCAAUGGGAUUGAUUUUUUCUGUUUUUGUUUUUGUUUUAAAAGAAGAGAAUUAGUUCCUUUUUCUGUCUCCAAGAUUGAAAACAUGAAGGCAAAGAAGAGAAACUCACAAUAUGUCAUUAACUUUGGGUUAUCAAUACUAGUGGAAAGAAUCAAUGGUGCAAAGAAUCCCAAAGGACUAGAUAAUCCGCAUAUUCGACUUCCUGAUUAUGUGUUACUGACACUAACAUUUCGGAGUGUGGAGACCCUGCCCCAUCUGGGGAGAGGGAGAGACAAAGACCCCCUGCUUCUGGUACUUGAUUCACACAAUGCCCUCCAUUUACUGCUUUCAAGAAAUAACCUGUUUCUAAUCUUAAAUUUCAAUCUAUUGAUCACAAAAUCAUAGAGAUCCUAGCCCUGAAAGAGACUUCAUGAGACCAUGUGACCAACUUUCUGACGCAGGAUUAGAACAUCCGAGAUUAAAAUGUCUCACACGUCAGUGCAGCAGAAUUUCCCAGCGACUUCGGUGGCGGGAGAGCAGCACCUCUCAGGGACAGCUGUGCGCAUCCCUCGGGCCCCACCGACCGCACCAUCUGACCUGCGGGAAACGAAAUCUGAGCUCAGGAAUUUGAACGGCCCCACGCACGUUCAUUCCCGGAUACAUCUUCUAGAGGACCGUGAUUUUUCCACUUAGAGAUUAUUUAGGGAGAUGUCCUGGAUGGGACAGGUAGACAAAUGGCGGCCCGAGGAAAAUGCAGGAUCUACAUUGUAGACGCUUAAGCACCAACUGUCUGGGCCCCGGGGCAGAGGGGACGGGGGACAUUACCCACCGGAAACAUCACACCCCCGGGGCUCCUGGCAUUUUCUACAUCAGUGAAUGUGCCAGCGAAGAGUGUGGGGAAAUUUUCUGAACAUAGAAUUCAUAUUCCUGAAACUUUAAGUCGUGAAGUGGGUGCUUCAGCUGUCCCCCAGCUUUAGGAUUUUAACCCAGCUUUGGUUUUAAUCACCAAGAGUUAUUCCUUAUAAUCAGAUCAGCAAAAGCGUUCCAUUACCUAUUACUGGUUGAGAAAGAUUCCGUUCCCCCAGCUCAUUGUAUCGGUUCUCGGAUCCAAGAUGUUAAUAUUGGCCAGGCAUUCACAGGGGGUUAAUAUGGCCCCCCCUCGACACCUUGCCUCGUACCAGAGACACCAAAAGCUGCUGCUGAGGGAUAAUGGAGAAUGGGAAAAGUUGGUCAUGAAAAACCUCUUUUAUUCUUACUUGCAAGCUACGCUUUUGACAUUCUUUUUUUGACACUAAAUGGAGAUUACUGAAUUGAUAACUUUUGGGUUUUCUCUGUCACACUGGGUUUUUUUUCCCCCGUUUGUUUGUAAGGUUUUUUUGGUUUUGGUUUUGGUUUUGGGGGGAGGGGAAGGGGGAAGUGGAUAGGGAGAUGGAAGAGUGUUCUGUUACUGGUUUUAUCCAAAUCCUGUUAGGUCUUGUUCUUCAAUGUAAUGUGGAAUGGAGAAGUUGCAUAAGUACAUGACUGACAAACAAGGUCUCUUAGAAGAGAGUUAAGGAAUAGGAAAUAUAAUGUGUCCUGGAGAAAAAGAAAAACCCUUAGUAUGACACACUGGCCUUUAAAUAGAGGACACAUGAAUAUGUAAAGGAGAGGCACGUGUGAAAUAAGAUGCGACUUGCUGAGCCCUCCGGCCCCCACUCCCCAUGUAUCAAGAACUUUACUUACAUCAUCUCAUCUAAUUCUACCCACAACCCAAGAGGAAGGGCGAUACUUUUAAUUCGGGUUUUUACAGACGAGAAAUUUGUAUCUCAGAGGCCAAAGUAAAUUGCCUGAGGGCAUAUAGCUACUUAGGACAGAAUUAGAAUUGAUUAAAGAGUCAAAAAUUCUUUGAGAAUUAGUGUUUUAAACUCUCGAUUAGUUACCAAGGGAAUCUGAGAAAUUAAUUAACUUCUGGGGGGAUCUUUAGAUUAGUGGGGAAAUUAUGUUAAGCCCAAAGAAAGACAAGCCCGUGAAUUUUCUUGUUAUCUGUGAUGUGGUUUGGGGAAAGGUGUGACAAUCUGAGAAAACUGAAAAGUGCUGAAAUUCCUUUAAUAAGGUUCUAUUUAAACUGAUAGAGCUACUAGAUAUAAUUAGGCAGAUGUCCAUUUUCUUCUGGAAGCUUCUAUUAUUUGAGGAGAAAACUAAAAAGCUUUAGACUGUUUCAAAUUAAGGACAAUUUGAAUUUUAGUUGGAAAGCGGAUAAACUAUCUGUAUGAUUGAGUUUAAAAGGCAUGGAAAGGCUAUUGCAAAAUAUUGAUCCCACUCAGUGAGAGCAAGCACAGCUUUCAAAUGAUACAGAUCUGGCUAUGAAUUUGAAUGGUGACUGUGCCUAGCUGUGUGACCAAGGGCAACUUUCUUAACCUCUCUGGGCCUCUGAGUCCUCAUCUUUAAAAUGAGACAAAUAAGCCCUCGCAAGACGCUUGUGAUGAUAAAAUAAAAGAGUAUGGGUGAAAGUCCUUAACAGAAUGCCUGAUAUGUAGCAGAUACUCAACAGAGUUAGCAAUGUUUCAUUUAAUUAAAGAAUUUGAGAGCAGGAUAGGGAGCACCACUAACUUCCGCUCUUCAACAAUUUUGCCUGGGGCUGGCUCUGGGGAAUAGACUUGGAUUCUCAUGAGUAUGUGAAUCUUUAGUUACUUCCUUGAAAGGACAGACAGUUAUAAAAGCAAGCAAUGAAGUCUGGGAAGGUGGAGGAGAAUGGUUAUGGAAAGUUAUCCCCACAUCAUAAGUCUUCCUGAUCUUGAGAUCAAACAACAACACUUUCAGAAACAGCAAGAAAUUAAGGCUGAAGCAAAAUACCCCCUGUAUAAUUUUUAAGUCAGUUAAUAAUGAAGGUGUAAAUAAAACAGAAAUGUCUGUGUUCUUACUUAAACCUUGAACAAAUAAGGGAUUUUUUUCUUUAGUGUUUUUUAAUAGAGAUAUUUUAAUCAUUUUUUAAGACACAGUUUUUGCCUAGUUACUGUUUACUAUUGCCCUGCCAAAAAUUAGUUAUUACUUCAGGACUUAUGUUUGAAUAGAACUGCGAAAUCCUGCUUUAAAAAGUACUAUGAAACAAUUCAUCAAAAUGUUUUCCUCUGAUGUUUUCUACCAGGUAAAGGCAAGAUUACUUCUGGAGAUUUUCUUUGAAAAUAAUGAUUUUUUUUUUCCUGAUUAUGAAAGUAAUACAUGUUCAUUGUGGACAACUUAGUAUAAAAUGAGAGAACAAGCUAUAAAGAAGCAAACGAGAACACCCUUAUUCUCACCAGUAAGAGUUACCCUUAACCACUUUUAAUAUUUUGAUGAUUUCUUUCAGUCUUUUUACCCUUUAUUUUUUUAGCCUUGGUACGAACCUAUGGAGUAUAAAAUUGUACAUUCUUGUUUUUAUAUUUAUUUUCUACCAUGUAACUAAAAAGGAUCUGUAACAUUUUUAGUGACUGUCUAAUUUUAUGUCAUACCAAUAUGAUAUAUUGGUAUCAUUUUUAAAGAAACAAUAGAGAAUUCUCUAUUGUUGAGUGUCUGUGAGUCCCAGUUUUUGCUAUUGUAAAUUAUGCUAAACGAAAAUCUGUGUGCAUAAAUCUUUGAGUUUAAGAUUAUUUUGUUAAGAUAGACUUCUAUAACAAGAAUUACUAGGUUCAUAUAGUACUUCUAAUGCGUUUGAAAUAUAUUGUCAUGUUGAUUUUAGCAGUUUUCAGUCCAAGCAGCAAUAGAUGAAGAAAGCUGUUUAAUGCCUCUAGUCGUAGUGACUGAUACCACAGCC
rnacentral:lncRNA from 1 species